rnacentral:rRNA from 1 species
CCUACGGGAGGCUGCAGUGAGGAAUAUUGGUCAAUGGGCUUACGCCUGAACCAGCCAAGUCGCGUGAGGGAAGACUGCCCUAUGGGUUGUAAACCUCUUUUGUCAGGGAGCAAUUGGCGCUACGUGUAGCGUUAUCGAGAGUACCUGAAGAAAAAGCAUCGGCUAACUCCUUGCCAGCAGCCGCGGUAAUACGGAGGAUGCGAGCGUUAUCCGGAUUUAUUGGGUUUAAAGGGUGCGUAGGCGGAAUGCCAAGUCAGCGGUAAAAUCGCGGGGCUCAACCUCGGUCCGCCGUUGAAACUGGCGUGCUUGAGUGGGCGAGAAGUAUGCGGAAUGCGUGGUGUAGCGGUGAAAUGCAUAGAUAUCACGCAGAACUCCGAUUGCGAAGGCAGCAUACCGGCGCCCAACUGACGCUGAAGCACGAAAGCGUGGGUAUCGAACAGGAUUAGAUACCCCUGUAGUC